UACGUAGGGUGCAAGCGUUGUCCGGAAUUACUGGGCGUAAAGGGUGCGUAGGCGGUUAGUUAAGUCUGUCGUGAAAUCCCCGGGCUCAACCUGGGAAUGGCGAUGGAUACUGGCUAGCUAGAGUGUGUCAGAGGAUGGUGGAAUUCCCGGUGUAGCGGUGAAAUGCGUAGAGAUCGGGAGGAACAUCAGUGGCGAAGGCGGCCAUCUGGGACAACACUGACGCUGAAGCACGAAAGCGUGGGGAGCAAACAGG
rnacentral:rRNA from 1 species